CUAUUACUGCUAACGUUUGAGUGCCA
rnacentral:piRNA from 1 species